rnacentral:rRNA from 1 species
UACGGAGGGGGCUAGCGUUGUUCGGAAUUACUGGGCGUAAAGCGCGCGUAGGCGGACCUGCAAGUCGGGGGUGAAAGCCCGAGGCUCAACCUCGGAACUGCCUUCGAUACUGCGGGUCUCGAGUCCGGGAGAGGUGAGUGGAAUUCCUAGUGUAGAGGUGAAAUUCGUAGAUAUUAGGAAGAACACCAGUGGCGAAGGCGGCUCACUGGCCCGGUACUGACGCUGAGGCGCAAAAGCGUGGGGAGCAAACAGG